GGUGGCGCUGGUCACACGGAUUGUCAUCGUGCGCUCCAUGCUGUGCAGCCACAUCGUACGUGGACGAGGUCGAACCGGUCGCCCGCAAGGUGUUGAGAAAAGAAUCCUAGACACUUGAUUUCCUCAGUACAAGCAAACAGGGAAUAACCUGAGAUCUGCAAGAUUACAUCCUUGAGUAAUCAGAAGCCCCACUUUCAGAGGAAAACCCACCAACUGUACC